CCCCUAGAUGUUCUGGGCCGCACGCGCGCUACACUGAACAGUUCAACAAGUCUUAACCUUGGCCGAUAGGUCUGGGUAAUCUUUGAACGCUGUUCGUGAUUGGGAUAGACCUUUGCAAUUAUGGGUCUUCAACGAGGAAUUCCUAGUAAACCCAAGUCAUCAGCUUGCAUUGAUUACGUCCCUGCCCUUUGUACACACCGCCCGUCGCACCUACCGAUUGAAUGGUCCGGUGAAAUCUCGGGACGGCGGCUUGGUCGCUUGCGUCCGACUGCUGAAACUUGAUUAAACCAUAUCAUUUAGAGGAAGGUGAANUCGUANCA
rnacentral:rRNA from 1 species